CGGCGACCGGCGCACGGGUGCGUAACGCGUAUGCAACCUACCUUUAACAGGGGGAUAACACUGAGAAAUUGGUACUAAUACCCCAUAAUAUCAUAGAAGGCAUCUUUUAUGGUUGAAAAUUCCGAUGGUUAGAGAUGGGCAUGCGUUGUAUUAGCUAGUUGGUGGGGUAACGGCUCACCAAGGCGACGAUACAUAGGGGGACUGAGAGGUUAACCCCCCCACACUGGUACUGAGACACGGACCAG
rnacentral:rRNA from 1 species